rnacentral:snRNA from 1 species
AUACCUUUCUCGGCCUUUUGGCUAAGAUCAAGUGUAGUAUCUGUUCUUAUCAGUUUAAUAUCUGAUACGUGGACCAUUGGUUCACAUGAUAUUAAAUUAAUUUUUUUAGGGGGAGGGCCUGCCACAAUAGCUUGCUAUUGGGGUCCUCGCGCGUCGCCUGUGCGUUGCACUGCUGCAUGGGCCUGGCGCACCCCAC